rnacentral:rRNA from 1 species
CCUACGGGUGGCAGCAGUGAGGAAUAUUGGUCAAUGGGCGCGAGCCUGAACCAGCCAAGUAGCGUGAAGGAUGACUGCCCUACGGGUUGUAAACUUCUUUUAUAAAGGAAUAAAGUGAGGCACGUGUGCCUUUUUGUAUGUACUUUAUGAAUAAGGAUCGGCUAACUCCGUGCCAGCAGCCGCGGUAAUACGGAGGAUCCGAGAGUUAUCCGGAUUUAUUGGGUUUAAAGGGAGCGUAGAUGGGUUGUUAAGUCAGUUGUGAAAGUUUGCGGCUCAACCGUAAAAUUGCAAUUGAUACUGGCAGCCUUGAGUACAGUUGAGGUAGGCGGAAUUCGUGGUGUAGCGGUGAAAUGCGUAGAUAUUAGGAGGAACACCAGUGGCGAAGGCGAUUUGCUGGGCCAUCACUGACGCUGAGGUACGAAAGCAUGGGGAGCAAAUAGGAUUAGAUACCCCGGUAGUC